AGGCACGUAGCUCAGUGGGAGAGCAUCGCCCUGACACGGCGAGGGUCCGCGGUUCAAAUCCGCGCGUGCCUACCA
rnacentral:tRNA from 1 species